rnacentral:tRNA from 2 species
GCCUACGUUGUCCAAUGGCUAAGACACCGCCCUGUCGCGGCGGAAACCCGGGUUCAAUUCCCGGCGUGGGCG